rnacentral:rRNA from 1 species
AUUGAACGCUGGCGGCAGGCCUAACACAUGCAAGUCGAACGGUAACAGGAAACAGCUUGCUGUUUCGCUGACGAGUGGCGGCCGGGUGAGUAAUGUCUGGGAAACUGCCUGAUGGAGGGGGAUAACUACUGGAAACGGUAGCUAAUACCGCAUAACGUCGCAAGACCAAAGAGGGGGACCCUCGGGCCUCUUGCCAUCUGAUGUGCCCAGAUGGGAUUAGCUUGUUGGUGGGGUAACGGCUCACCAAGGCGACGAUCCCUAGCUGGUCUGAGAGGAUGACCAGCCACACUGGAACUGAGACACGGUCCAGACUCCUACGGGAGGCAGCAGUGGGGAAUAUUGCACAAUGGGCGCAAGCCUGAUGCAGCCAUGCCGCGUGUAUGAAGAAGGCCUUCGGGUUGUAAAGUACUUUCAGCGGGGAGGAAGGGAGUAAAGUUAAUACCUUUGCUCAUUGACGUUACCCGCAGAAGAAGCACCGGCUAACUCCGUG